rnacentral:lncRNA from 1 species
UCUGCCUGGCUGCGGCCGCCGGUAACAAGGUCUUGCCCCUCCGCGCAGAUUGAGAGCCUACAGCAUGGGAGAUGAGGACUGGGACACCGAGAUCCAGGACCGCGUGGCAUCCUUCCUACCAGACUUCCAGCAGCUGGAUAACUUUUCUGGAAGAGCAAAUAACCCCUCAUUUAGUUGCAAUCAAAGCAGAAAUUCAGCAGAUGCUGGUGUGGAACCUAACAGAAGUCAACUCAUGUGGGGUGACUUUGGUACUGGAAGGAGUUUUGGGAAUAGAGGGCACAAAUUUGAAGAAAGAAGAAACUCUGGAUUUGAGAGAGAAUCUACUGAAGAUGGCCAAGCAAGAGCGCCUUCAAGGAGAGGAGGUAAGGUACAAAGGUGAAGUGACACUGAUAGCAGAUCUGUUUGUUCUAUUUCCAGGGGAGUCUAACAUU